GGAGAGAUGGCUGAGCGGUCGAAAGCGCACGCUUGGAGAGCGUGUACACAGCAAUGUGUCGGGGGUUCGAAUCCCCCUCUUUCCG
rfam:Anaplasma marginale str. Florida, complete genome.